rnacentral:rRNA from 1 species
GAUGAACGCUGGCGGCGUGCCUAAUACAUGCAAGUCGAGCGAACGGACGAGAAGCUUGCUUCUCUGAUGUUAGCGGCGGACGGGUGAGUCACACGUGGAUAACCUACCUAUAAGACUGGGAUAACUUCGGGAAACCGGCGCUAAUACCGGAUAAUAUUUUGAACCGCAUGGUUCAAAAGUGAAAGACGGUCUUGCUGUCACUUAUAGAUGGAUCCGCGCUGCAUUAGCUAGUUGGUAAGGUAACGGCUUACCAAGGCAACGAUGCAUAGCCGACCUGAGAGGGUGAUCGGCCACACUGGAACGGAGACACGGUCCAGACUCCUACGGGAGGCAGCAGUAGGGAAUCUUCCGCAAUGGGCGAAAGCCUGACGGAGCAACGCCGCGUGAGUGAUGAAGGUCUUCGGAUCGUAAAACUCUGUUAUUAGGGAAGAACAUAUGUGUAAGUAACUGUGCACAUCUUGACGGUACCUAAUCAGAAAGCCACGGCUAACUACGUG